GACGUAGGGCGCGAGCGUUGUCCGGAUUUAUUGGGCGUAAAGAGCUCGUAGGCGGCUUGUCGCGUCGUCCGUGAAAACCUGGGGCUCAACCCCAGGCUUGCGGUCGAUACGGGCAGGCUAGAGUUCGGUAGGGGAGACUGGAAUUCCUGGUGUAGCGGUGAAAUGCGCAGAUAUCAGGAAGAACACCAAUGGCGAAGGCAGCUCUCUGGGACGGUACUGACGCUGAGACGCGAAAGCGUGGGGAGCGAACAGG
rnacentral:rRNA from 1 species